AUUGAACGCUGGCGGCAGGCCUAACACAUGCAAGUCGAGCGGAAACGAGUUAUCUGAACCUUCGGGGAACGAUAACGGCGUCGAGCGGCGGACGGGUGAGUAAUGCCUAGGAAAUUGCCCUGAUGUGGGGGAUAACCAUUGGAAACGAUGGCUAAUACCGCAUGAUGCCUACGGGCCAAAGAGGGGGACCUUCGGGCCUCUCGCGUCAGGAUAUGCCUAGGUGGGAUUAGCUAGUUGGUGAGGUAAGGGCUCACCAAGGCGACGAUCCCUAGCUGGUCUGAGAGGAUGAUCAGCCACACUGGAACUGAGACACGGUCCAGACUCCUACGGGAGGCAGCAGUGGGGAAUAUUGCACAAUGGGCGCAAGCCUGAUGCAGCCAUGCCGCGUGUAUGAAGAAGGCCUUCGGGUUGUAAAGUACUUUCAGUCGUGAGGAAGGCGGCGUCGUUAAUAGCGGCGUUGUUUGACGUUAGCGACAGAAGAAGCACCGGCUAACUCCGUGCCAGCAGCCGCGGUAAUACGGAGGGUGCGAGCGUUAAUCGGAAUUACUGGGCGUAAAGCGCAUGCAGGUGGUUUGUUAAGUCAGAUGUGAAAGCCCGGGGCUCAACCUCGGAAUAGCAUUUGAAACUGGCAGACUAGAGUACUGUAGAGGGGGGUAGAAUUUCAGGUGUAGCGGUGAAAUGCGUAGAGAUCUGAAGGAAUACCGGUGGCGAAGGCGGCCCCCUGGACAGAUACUGACACCCAGAUGCGAAAGCGUGGGGAGCAAACAGG
rnacentral:rRNA from 1 species